rnacentral:rRNA from 1 species
AACGCUGGCGGCAGGCUUAACACAUGCAAGUCGAGCGGGCAUCCUUGUGGUGUCAGCGGCAGACGGGUGAGUAACGCGUGGGAACGUGCCCUUCGGUUCGGAAUAACUCAGGGAAACUUGAGCUAAUACCGGAUACGUGCGAGAGCAGAAAGGUUUAUCUGCCGAAGGAUCGGCCCGCGUCUGAUUAGCUAGUUGGUGAGGUUACGGCUCACCAAGGCGACGAUCAGUAGCUGGUCUGAGAGGAUGAUCAGCCACACUGGGACUGAGACACGGCCCAGACUCCUACGGGAGGCAGCAGUGGGGAAUAUUGGACAAUGGGGGCAACCCUGAUCCAGCCAUGCCGCGUGAGUGAUGACGGCCUUAGGGUUGUAAAGCUCUUUUCUCCGGGACGAUAAUGACGGUACCGGAGGAAUAAGCCCCGGCUAACUUCGUG